rnacentral:rRNA from 1 species
AUUGAACGCUGGCGGCAGGCCUAACGCAUGCAAGUCGAGCGGCAGCGGAAAGUAGCUUGCUACUUUGCCGGCGAGCGGCGGACGGGUGAGUAAUGUCUGGGAAACUGCCUGAUGGAGGGGGAUAACUACUGGAAACGGUAGCUAAUACCGCAUAACGUCGCAAGACCAAAGAGGGGGACCUUCGGGCCUCUUGCCAUCAGAUGUGCCCAGAUGGGAUUAGCUAGUAGGUGGGGUAACGGCUCACCUAGGCGACGAUCCCUAGCUGGUCUGAGAGGAGGACCAGCCACACUGGAACUGAGACACGGUCCAGACUCCUACGGGAGGCAGCAGUGGGGAAUAUUGCACAAUGGGCGCAAGCCUGAUGCAGCCAUGCCGCGUGUAUGAAGAAGGCCUUCGGGUUGUAAAGUACUUUCAGCGGGGAGGAAGGUGUUGAGGUUAAUAACCUCAGCAAUUGACGUUACCCGCAGAAGAAGCACCGGCUAACUCCGUGCCAGCCGCCGCAGUAAAAC